rnacentral:rRNA from 1 species
ACUCAAAGGAAUAGACGGGGGCCCGCACAAGCAGCGGAGCGUGUGGUUUAAUUCGAGGCUACACGAAGAACCUUACCUGGGUUUGACAUACAAGUAGUAGGGAACCGAAAGGGGACCGACCGCAAGGAGCUUGUACAGGUGCUGCAUGGCUGUCGUCAGCUCGUGCCGUGAGGUGUUCGGUUAAGUCCGCAAACGAGCGCAACCCUCGGCGUUAGUUACACGUGUCUAACGCGACUGCCCGUGAGAAACGGGAGGAAGGUGGGGAUGACGUCAAGUCAGCAUGGCCUUUAUAUCCAGGGCUACACACACGCUACAAUGGGUGGUACAGUCGGUUGCGAAGCCGCGAGGUGGAGCCAAUCCAAAAAGCCAUUCGUAGUUCGGAUUGCAGGCUGCAACUCGCCUGCAUGAAGUCGGAGUUGCUAGUAACCGCGCGUCAGCUAUAGCGCGGUGAAUACGUUCCCGGGCCUUGCACACACCGCCCGU